UACGUAGGGGUCGAGCGUUGUCCGGAGUUACUGGGCGUAAAGCGCAUGCAGGCGGCUCAUUACGCAUGGCGUGAAAGCCCCCGGCUUAACCGGGGAGGGUCGUCGUGUACGGGUGAGCUUGAGGGUAUCAGGGGCUGGUGGAAUUCCCGGUGUAGUGGUGAAAUGCGUAGAGAUCGGGAGGAACACCUGUGGCGAAGGCGGCCAGCUGGGAUACACCUGACGCUGAGAUGCGAAGGCGUGGGGAGCGAACGGG
rnacentral:rRNA from 1 species